UACGGAGGGGGCGAGCGUUGUCCGAAUUCAUUGGGCGUAAAGCGCGCGUAGGCGGACUUUCAAGCCUGGGGUGAAAGGUUGGGGCUCAACCCCAUACAGUGCCUUGGGGACUGAGAGUCUGGAGGCCGACAGAGGAGAGUGGAAUUCCUGGUGUAGCGGUGGAAUGCGUAGAGAUCAGGAGGAACACCGGUGGCGAAGGCGGGUCUCUGGGCAGUAACUGACGCUGAGGAGCGAAAGCGUGGGGAGCGAACAGG
rnacentral:rRNA from 1 species